AUCUAGUUGACGAGUCCCAUAUAGGACGAAACGCGUGUUGUGAAU
rfam:Schistosoma curassoni strain Dakar, Senegal genome assembly, scaffold: SCTD_scaffold0001699